rnacentral:rRNA from 1 species
GACGUAGGGUGCGAGCGUUGUCCGGACUUAUUGGGCGUAAAGAGCUCGUAGGCGGCUCGUCGCGUCGACCGUGAAAACUUGGGGCUUAACCCUAAGCUUGCGGUUGAUACGGGCGGGCUAGAGUUCGGUAGGGGAGACUGGAAUUCCUGGUGUAGCGGUGAAAUGCGCAGAUAUCAGGAGGAACACCGGUGGCGAAGGCGGGUCUCUGGGCCGAUACUGACGCUGAGGAGCGAAAGCGUGGGGAGCGAACAGG